AUUGAACGCUGGCGGCAGGCCUAACACAUGCAAGUCGAGCGGAUGACGGGAGCUUGCUCCCGGAUUCAGCGGCGGACGGGUGAGUAAUGCCUAGGAAUCUGCCUGGUAGUGGGGGACAACGUUUCGAAAGGAACGCUAAUACCGCAUACGUCCUACGGGAGAAAGCAGGGGACCUUCGGGCCUUGCGCUAUCAGAUGAGCCUAGGUCGGAUUAGCUAGUUGGUGAGGUAAUGGCUCACCAAGGCGACGAUCCGUAACUGGUCUGAGAGGAUGAUCAGUCACACUGGAACUGAGACACGGUCCAGACUCCUACGGGAGGCAGCAGUGGGGAAUAUUGGACAAUGGGCGAAAGCCUGAUCCAGCCAUGCCGCGUGUGUGAAGAAGGUCUUCGGAUUGUAAAGCACUUUAAGUUGGGAGGAAGGGCAGUAAGCGAAUACCUUGCUGUUUUGACGUUACCGACAGAAUAAGCACCGGCUAACUCUGUGCCAGCCGCCGCCGUAAAAC
rnacentral:rRNA from 1 species